rnacentral:rRNA from 1 species
GACGAACCGUGCGACCGUUAUUCGGAAUCACUGGGCUUAAAGCGCGUGUAGGCGGGACGGUGCGUCGGCCGCUGAAAUCCCCCGGCUCAACCGGGGAAGGGGCGCCGAUACGACCGCCCUGGAGCGACGUAGGGGGAACUGGAACUUCCGGUGGAGCGGUGAAAUGCGUUGAGAUCGGAAGGAACGCCCGUGGCGAAAGCGAGUUCCUGGACGUCGGCUGACGCUGAGACGCGAAAGCCAGGGGAGCGAACGGG